rnacentral:rRNA from 1 species
AUUGAACGCUAGCGGGAUGCUUUACACAUGCAAGUCGAACGAGUGGCGGAAGGGUGAGUAAUAUAUCGGAACGUGCCCAGUAGCGGGGGAUAACUACGCGAAAGAGUGGCUAAUACCGCAAAUUAUUGGAGCGGCCGACAUCGGUGUAGCUAAUUGGGGGGGUAAAGGCUCACCAAGGCAACGAUCCGAAGCUGGUUUGGGAGGACGACCAGCCACAGUGGGACUGAGACACGGCCCAGACUCCUACGGGAGGCAGCAGUGGGGAAGUUUGGACAAUGGGGGAACCCUGAUCCAGCCAUCCCGCGUGUAUGAGAAGGCCUUCGGGUUGUAAAGUACUUUUGGCAGAGAAGCGGUAUCUGCAGAAUAAGCACCGGCUAACUACGUGCCAGCAGCCGCGGUAAUUC